UGCUCAGCCUCAUAGUCUCACUCCCCAGGGGGCACCCUUAGCUGAGGCAUUGAGUUUUGCCCAUUUUCCUUAAUUGGAUUGUGAUGCACACCCUGUUUGGGGACUGGUUACCUGGGCAACUCACCCGGCUGCUGGUAGCAGCCAGGGUGCAUGUAUUCCCGCGGCUGUUUAGUGUCCCUUGCAUGGAUGGGCCACAUUCACUCACUGUCCCAGUGAGACACGCGGGCCUAUUCCAGCUCAGGGCUCUGGGCCGGGUCCCACACUUCACUGGCCUUUAUUCCUGGGAACAGAACUCCUGGGUCCAAAGGCGCUCUGCCCUUCCUGGGCAGUACCACUGUCUUCUCUGAAAGGGAGCGCGUGUGUACAGGUCCUGGGCUGAGUUCAGGCAGGGACAGCGUCCUCCAGGAGGAUCAGCUGCAGACUGGCCUGGGUGGUGGGAAGGGGCCAACUGCUCAGAGACGGAUGACCGGGGAUGCCUGGCCUAGGGUGUGGAGGGCGGUCAGUGGUGUCCCUGCAGAGACGUGGCUGCUGAGAGGGGUGAUGGCAGGUGUUAGCUACGUGGAGCAACCCGGCAGGAGGAGUGUGGCUGUGAGAGAAGGAUAGUCUGUCCAGACUUGCCGAGCCCACCUCACAGGAGCCACGGUGCAUCACAUGCCCGCUCCCCACCGGCCGCUCAGCAGGAGGCCAGGAGUGCAGUUCACCUCGAUUCUGACCCUCUCCACUGGAGCCAGCAUCACAUUCCACAGCCCGAGGGCUCGGUCCCACCAGACAGCCUCCACUUCAGAUGCCAGUCACAAGCCCAGGUUGUCACCUGUGCUUCUGACCAACAAGAUAUAAAUCAGAGAGCAAAGGGAUGUUGAGACCAAAAAGUGAGCCAACCACUAUAGUUCACCCCCAGCCACGCCUGUGCAUUUCCUGCUCUCACCUCAUAAGGAGCCGCUGUGAUGGAAUUUACGAAAACCUACAUAAGCCUCUGGCCCAUCCUACAUUUUUGGUAGUUAUAGCCCAGGAAGCUGAUUUUGGUGACCUGAGGAAUCCACCGCAGUUAGUUUUCUCCUUUGGUUUUUUAGCCCUUGAUUUUGUUUAUUUUUUAUUUACUGCUUUUUUGGUUUUUAAAUUUUUCAUUCUUUUGUUUUUUAUUUUCCUUUGUUCUCCUCAUUUUUAAAUUUUUUCUCAUUAUUCUUUUUAUUUUUCACACUUUUUUUCCUUUUCUCAAUUUCUUUUUGUUCUUUAAUUUUUUACUUUUCCUUGUUUUUAAAAAACUUUUUAGUAUUGUUAGUAAAGUUAGUACAGUUAGUAUAGUUAGUAUUGUUGGUGUAGUUUGUACAGCUAGCUUCUUUGGUAUAGUUAGUGUUACUCAUUAGCGUAGUUAGGAAGCAUAGGUGGCCUCGUUACUAUUGUUAGUCAGUAUUAGCAUACUGUCAUUUUGUUUGUUAGUGUAGUUAGUAUGCAUAGUUAGCAUCGUUAGUUAGUGUUAUCAGUUAGUGUAGUUAACAGGUCACCAUGCUUCCAG
rnacentral:lncRNA from 1 species